UACGUAGGGUGCAAGCGUUGUCCGGAAUUAUUGGGCGUAAAGAGCGUGUAGGCGGCCCGAUUAGUCCGCUGUGAAAGUCCAGGGCUCAACCCUGGAAUGCCGGUGGAUACUAUCGGGCUAGAGUCCGGAAGGGGCGAGUGGAAUUCCUGGUGUAGCGGUGAAAUGCGCAGAUAUCAGGAGGAACACCAAUGGCGAAGGCAGCUCGCUGGGACGUGACUGACGCUGAGACGCGAAAGCGUGGGAGCAAACAGG
rnacentral:rRNA from 1 species